UAGGGAAUCUUCGGCAAUGGACGGAAGUCUGACCGAGCAACGCCGCGUGAGUGAAGAAGGUUUUCGGAUCGUAAAGCUCUGUUGUAAGAGAAGAACGAGUGUGAGAGUGGAAAGUUCACACUGUGACGGUAUCUUACCAGAAAGGGACGGCUAACUACGUGCCAGCAGCCGCGGUAAUACGUAGGUCCCGAGCGUUGUCCGGAUUUAUUGGGCGUAAAGCGAGCGCAGGCGGUUAGAUAAGUCUGAAGUUAAAGGCUGUGGCUUAACCAUAGUAGGCUUUGGAAACUGUUUAACUUGAGUGCAAGAGGGGAGAGUGGAAUUCCAUGUGUAGCGGUGAAAUGCGUAGAUAUAUGGAGGAACACCGGUGGCGAAAGCGGCUCUCUGGCUCGUAACUGACGCUGAGGCUCGAAAGCGUGGGGAGCAAACAGGAUUAGAUACCCUGGUAGUCCACGCUGUAAACGAUGAGUGCUAGGUGUUAGACCCUUUCCGGGGUUUAGUGCCGUAGCUAACGCAUUAAGCACUCCGCCUGGGGAGUACGACCGCAAGGUUG
rnacentral:rRNA from 1 species